CAUCAAAAUCCUUUUCUCUUUCAUUUCUCAAAUACUCACCUUUCCUCCUUUCUCAUUCUUAUUUACUGCUCUUUCCCCGGCGCCCACCAAACUCAACCAUCUCCAUUAUCAACCCUCCUCCUUUUACAUGCAACUUGUUUUCGUCGGUGGUGGUGGUGCUGCUGCUGCGACGACUGCCUCCAUGUCGACGCUGUCCAGGGAGGACAACGCUGCUAUGUCAUCUGAGGAUUCUUCUAGC
rnacentral:misc_RNA from 1 species